AUGCCUAAUAUACUUAGUUUAACAUGUAUCUGUUUUAAUUAUAUUCUUUAUCCUACUAGUUUUUUUUUUGCCAAAUUGCGUGAAGCUUAUGCUAUUUUCAAUCCAGUCGUGGAUAUUAUGCCUCUUAUACCUCUAUUCUUUUUUCUUUUAGCCUUUGUUUGGCAAGCUGUUGUAAGUUUUCCAUGA
rnacentral:rRNA from 1 species